AUUCACAUACUUUAUCUCCUCUGAUUAUCGUAUCAUCUCUUAAUUCAUACUGAAGGUAUCUUUUCUUUGCUUAAGGUUGUUAGUGAAGAAAUCAAAUUAUCAUUGAGUUGAUUUUUGUGUUUUGUCCUUCAAUAUUAUUUUUGUGUUUGGGAAUGAUGGAUUUAUUGACCCCAUAGUUUCCAUAGUGCAUCUCUUCCCUUCUUUUGCAACUUAAGAUUUUCAAGCACUAAGAGCAUCAAUCAUAGUGUUUUUAUGCUUGUCACGGUUCCUUCUGUCGCCUCGUAUAUCAGCUCCCCCCCCCCCCCCCACCCCCCCCACCCUUUUAAAAAGGCAAGAUGCUCUUCCUUUUCUCUUGUAACUGUAAGCACUAAAAGCAUCAAUCAUAGUGGUCCUUACGCUUGUCAUGGUUCCUUAUGCACCCUUUAUCUCAGCCCCUUUGGCUUUCCCUUCACCAACACCCCCCACCCCCCUGCCAAAAAGCAAGAUAUUUAUCCUUUUCUCUUGUGCAUACAACUAGCUCUUUUUCUUUUAUGGGUAUUUUAGUUCCCAUCCAGGGAUUACCUUGAUGACUUGACAUGUUCAGCUCUCAUAGUGCUUUAUCAAAUAUACAGUCUCUCACUAGGUCACCCAUAUUCCUGCUUGCCAGUUAUCUUGACUUGGUUGUCUCAAAGAGCUUAUUGCCUUCUCCAUCUCCCCGUUGAAGG